GACGAACGCUGGCGGCGUGCUUAACACAUGUAAGUCGAACGCUGAAGCUUGGUGCUUGCACUGGGUGGAUGAGUGGCGAACGGGUGAGUAAUACGUGAGUAACCUGCCCUUGACUCUGGGAUAAGCCUGGGAAACUGGGUCUAAUACUGGAUACGACAUGUCACCGCAUGGUGGUGUGUGGAAAGGGUUUUACUGGUUUUGGAUGGGCUCACGGCCUAUCAGCUUGUUGGUGGGGUAAUGGCUCACCAAGGCGACGACGGGUAGCCGGCCUGAGAGGGUGACCGGCCACACUGGGACUGAGACACGGCCCAGACUCCUACGGGAGGCAGCAGUGGGGAAUAUUGCACAAUGGGCGGAAGCCUGAUGCAGCGACGCCGCGUGAGGGAUGACGGCCUUCGGGUUGUAAACCUCUUUCAGCACGGAAGAAGCGAAAGUGACGGUACGUGCAGAAGAAGCGCCGGCUAACUACGUG
rnacentral:rRNA from 1 species